CAGGGAAACACCGGGAUGAUGGCCAUCUGAAGACAGAGGCAAACAUUGGAGUGAUGCAAUGACAAGCCAAGGAAUGCCAAGGACUGCAAACCAUUGCCAGAAGCUAGGAACACUCAAGACAUUUGUGUACUCACUGCUCAAUCGAGGGAGGCCUUAUCCAGCUAUACUCAUUCUCAGAGGCAUUGCCUUCUGCACUGGAAAUGGAGUCCUUCAAGGCUACUAUCUGAUUUACUGUGCUGAAUACCCUGAUGGGUGGUACACAGACAUACGGUUUAGCUUGGGUGUCUUCUUAUUUAUUUUGGGAAUGGGAAUAAACAUUCAUAGUGACUAUAUAUUGCGCCAGCUCAGGAAGCCUGGAGAAAUCAGCUACAGGAUUCCACAAGGUGGCUUGUUUACGUAUGUUUCUGGAGCCAAUUUCCUCGGUGAGAUCAUUGAAUGGAUCGGCUAUGCCCUGGCCACUUGGUCCCUCCCAGCACUUGCAUUUGCAUUUUUCUCACUUUGUUUCCUUGGGCUGCGAGCUUUUCAC
rnacentral:lncRNA from 1 species